AUGGACCAAUCCAUCCCUUUUUCCCGUGCAUAUGCAUCGGACUCGGAUGACGAUGGUCCCGAUGAAGAAGUUGAUGAGGAGGGAUUCACGCCGAAGGAGGCCCAAGCAUUCAAGAAGGUAUUCGGGCGGGAUCACAAGACACCAUUGUUCAAGGAUCUUAGUCUCGCGGAUGAAGCUGUUGUGGAUGGUGGCAAAUGCAUUUCUCUUGGAGCUAGGCCAAGUUCUCAC
rnacentral:rRNA from 1 species